AUCAGAACCAUAUUCACUAUUGCAAAAUAUUUCUUUUUUUCCCCUCUUAUUAAAUAAGUCUUAUAUUCCAGAGAAGAUGGAUUUCAAGUACAUGCCUGUACAAAAACAUGAUGUGAGCUGAAGCUCCUGCUCUGUAAAGUUCUUUGGACUGUGGAUGAAGAAGUCAACUGCUUUGAAAAACUGAAUAAAUUCUGUUCCCAGAGGUGCUUUGUUGCUCUCCAGAAUAGAAACUCCAGAAGACUGUAAUAAAGUCCAGCUUCUUCCACCCACAGACAAUGGCUCUGCCAUGAUACACAAGCCAAGUUUCAGCUCUCAAACUAGAGACGUGACAAACAUAAUUUAAGUGCGAUCAGUGAGGCUGAACAUGGAAAACAAGUCACUGGGAGGGAGGGAAGCGUGAAAAAUGUGCCUCUGUCUGCAACUGCAACCUUUUGCUUAUUAAUUCUCAAAGGACUCAAAGCAGAAUCUCAUGGAAGUUUAAAAACUGACAAAGCUUAAAAAAAAGGCAAGUCUUAAAACUUUUAAGGUAAUAAAUCAUAGUCUUAAGAUUGGCCAUUUUUUAGAAUGUCAGUUAAGA